AAAUCAAAUCAUGGGCAGCCGAG
rnacentral:piRNA from 1 species